CGUAGGGGUCCUACCAGAUUACCAACCAAUCAAACUCCGAAUGCCGCUGACAAGUAUCCGGGAGUCAGGCUGCGGGAGAUAAGUCCGUAGCCGAGAGGGAAAGAGCCCAGAUCGUCGGCUAAGGUCCCCUAAAUCUGAGCUAAGUGUCAAAGGAUGUGGGGGCGCAUUGACAGCCAGGAGGUUGGCUUAGAAGCAGCCAUCCUUUAAAGAAAGCGUAAUAGCUCACUGGUCAAGCGAACCUGCGCCGAAAAUAUAACGGGGCUCAAGCUCAGUACCGAAGCCACGGACUCUUAAACGAGUGUAGGGGAGCAUUCUCAAGGAGACACACGUCGGACGGAAACGACCGAUAUCGGCUUUGAGAAGAGCUUAUGCAGGCAUGAGUAGCGAUAAACCGAGUGAGAAACUCGGUCGCCGUAAGCCCCAAGGUUUCCUGGGGAAGGAUAAUCCUCCCAUGGGUUAGUCGGAUCCUAAGCCGAGGCCGAGAGGCGUAGGUGAUGGAAAGCAGGUUAAUAUUCCUGCACCACCAAGGAUGGCG
rnacentral:rRNA from 1 species